UGUCCCUCUGAAGCCUCGAGACAUGAACAGCCAGCCUGGAUUCUGUAGAGACGUGGGAUGGGGCCCAGUGAGUGGGGCUCAGUCUCUGCUCCCCGAUGUGCGGGCCCCGGGGGAAGAGCAGCUGAGGUGUUCCAACUACCUCGUCCUGGAUGCUCUGUUGGGACCCAAGGCCCCUCCAGUGUCGCGAGCCUCUGUACAGCCAGGUGGCCUCAGCAGCCGGCCUCCUUGGCUCCACCAGCCACCCAGGCUUGGCUCAAGUGCCACCUCCUCCUUGAAGCCUUCGCAGAUUCCUCGUCUGCCUUCUGGACCAAGGAAGCGCCCCUGGGGGGCCUGGCUUCAUGCAGCCUCCCGUCAGACAUGGGUGAGUCCAGGCGUCCCAGGGAAGGUGGGGGGCUGGGUAUUUUGGUAUUUUGGGAGAGCCUUCAGGAAAGUGAUGAGCCAUGCCACCAGGCAUGUCCACUGCCAGAAGCGGUGCAUGCCUUUUGCUAAGCAGGGCCCUGCACCGGCCUGGCUGGCUGGGCGGGCCUGGGGCUCCGCUUCCCACUGAGUCUGGCGGGGCUCAGGGCCUGUUCCUGGAGGUGCCCCGAGCCUGAGCCUGCAGGCGGGGGGCUCUUCCCUGUGUGAGCUCACUUAAUCCUUGAAACCACCUUUGAGUCAGGGGCAGCCCGAUUUUGGGCUUCACGCCCUUGGGUCCUCCCUCCCCACAUGGAAGUGGCCGGUCUGAGUUACCAGGGGGAGGCUUUGGAAGUAGAGGAGGACAGGGCCUUGAGGACGCCUUGGACUGGAUGUCACCUGCUCUGGGGAAGCGGGGUGCCAGGCCGUGAGGACACACAAGCUGCGUGAGCAAGGAAACUACAGGGCCUAGAACCGCCAGCUGGCCUUCAGACGCAGUGAGGUACACACUCUGUGCUGGUUCUAACCUCCCGUUUGGAAGUGGUUUGUUAUUACUGCUCAGAAGCUGAGGCCCAGUGUGGCUCCAUGACUUACCCACGGAACAUGCUAGAAGGAGACGGAAGCAUGGAUUUGGACCUGCGUGUCCAGGUGCUGAGCUGCCCUCACCCGGACCCUGCAGCCGCUCAGGUCCUUGAUAGACACUCAGGGGGCCUCUGGUCCAGUCACACCAGCUGCUUAGGAAGGUGAGAGCUGGAGGUGGUCCCAAGUCCCAGAUCUCGUGGGAAAGUGCCAGGUAGGCCCUGGGCCCCGGCCUGGGCGAGACCCUGAGUGGCUGCUUCCUGCCCACACCAGCUUUGCCAGCGGGAGUCUGGACGGGGAGGAAGGGAUUAUUUAUAAUCUGUUAUCUGCUUGGACAAUGCUCUGUAACUCAGGGGAGGACCCAAGACUUGGUGAUGGGGGUGCCGGCAGGAGCCACGGGCACGAGGGGCCGUAGUAUGCAUUCAUGCCAGACCCUGACCGCAUGUUUAAUUUCUCUCGAGAUGCCGUAGGUUUUCGUGUCCCUGAUUGGUGAGUGGGGGGGUGAGGGGUGGUGGCCAGAACAUUGGGACAGUCUUCCCGAAAGAAGGUGGGGGCUAGGGCCAGGAGGCGACAUU
rnacentral:lncRNA from 12 species